GCCUUCGUGGUGUAGUGGUCAGCACCCUCGACGCGUAAUCGAGAGGUCCGUGGUUCGAUUCCCGGAGAAAGCC
rnacentral:tRNA from 1 species